CCGCMUGGGGAGUWCGAMCGCAAGGUUGAAASUCAAAGGAAUUGACGGGGACCCGCACAAGCGGUGGAGCAUGUGGUUUAAUUYGAAGCAACGCGAAGAACCUUSCAAAUCUUGACAUCAUKUGACAACUUUAGAGAUAGAGCCUUCCCCUUCGGGGGACAAAGUGACAGGUGGUGCAUGRUUGUYGUCAGCUCGUGUCGWGAGAUGUUGGGWUAAGUCCCGCAACGAGCGCAACCCUUAAGYUUAGUUGCCAUCAUUAAGUUGGGCACUAUAAGUUGAMUGCCGGUGACAAACCGGAGGAAGGUGGGGAUGACGUCAAAUCAUCAUGCCCCUUAUGAUUUGGGCUACACACGUGMUACAAUGGACAAUACAAAGGGCAGCGAAACCGCGAGGUCAAGCAAAUCCCAUAAAGUUGUUCUCAGUUCGGAUUGUAGUCUGCAACUCGACUACAUGAAGCUGGAAUCGCUAGUAAUCGUAGAUCAGCAUGCUACGGUGAAUACGUUCCCGGGUMUUGUACACACCGCCCGUCACACCACGAGAGUUUGUAACACCCGAAGCCGGUGGAGUAACCU
rnacentral:rRNA from 1 species